AACGAACGCUGGCGGCAUGCCUAACACAUGCCAGUCGAACGAGACCUUCGGGUCUAGUGGCGCACGGGUGCGUAACGCGUGGGAACCUGCCCUUAGGUUCGGAAUAACUCCCCGAAAGGGGUGCUAAUACCGGAUAAUUUCUUCGGACCAAAGAUUUAUCGCCUUUGGAUGGGCCCGCGUUGGAUUAGCUAGUUGGUAGGGUAAAAGCCUACCAAGGCGACGAUCCAUAGCUGGUCUGAGAGGAUGAUCAGCCACACUGGGACUGAGACACGGCCCAGACUCCUACGGGAGGCAGCAGUGGGGAAUAUUGGACAAGGGGCGAAAGCCUGAUCCAGCAAUGCCGCGUGAGUGAUGAAGGCCUUAGGGUUGUAAAGCUCUUUUACCCGGGAUGAUAAUGACAGUACCGGGAGAAUAAGCGCCGGCUAACUCCGUG
rnacentral:rRNA from 1 species